rnacentral:tRNA from 1 species
GGAUAGCUAGUCUAACACAAGACAACUAACUUCGGCUUAGUUAAUCGUGAUAAAACUUCACGGCUAUCAA